AUUGAACGCUGGCGGCAGGCCUAACACAUGCAAGUCGAGCGGAUGAAGGGAGCUUGCUCCUGGAUUCAGCGGCGGACGGGUGAGUAAUGCCUAGGAAUCUGCCUGGUAGUGGGGGAUAACGUCCGGAAACGGGCGCUAAUACCGCAUACGUCCUGAGGGAGAAAGUGGGGGAUCUUCGGACCUCACGCUAUCAGAUGAGCCUAGGUCGGAUUAGCUAGUUGGUGGGGUAAAGGCCUACCAAGGCGACGAUCCGUAACUGGUCUGAGAGGAUGAUCAGUCACACUGGAACUGAGACACGGUCCAGACUCCUACGGGAGGCAGCAGUGGGGAAUAUUGGACAAUGGGCGAAAGCCUGAUCCAGCCAUGCCGCAUGUGUGAAGAAGGUCUUCGGAUUGUAAAGCACUUUAAGUUGGGAGGAAGGGCAGUAAGUUAAUACCUUGCUGUUUUGACGUUACCAACAGAAUAAGCCCCGGCUAACUUCGUG
rnacentral:rRNA from 1 species